rnacentral:rRNA from 1 species
UACGAAGGGGGCGAGCGUUGUCCGGAAUUAUUGGGCGUAAAGAGCUCGUAGGCGGUCUGUUGCGUCUGCUGUGAAAACUCGGGGCUUAACCCCGAGCCUGCAGUGGAUACGGGCAGACUAGAGGUAGGUAGGGGAGAAUGGAAUUCCCGGUGUAGCGGUGAAAUGCGCAGAUAUCGGGAGGAACACCGGUGGCGAAGGCGGUUCUCUGGGCCUUACCUGACGCUGAGGAGCGAAAGCGUGGGGAGCGAACAGG